AUAAAUCAUUGUGAUUGCAUACAGUUAGAACGCUUGACUUAAUGCAAGAGGCAAUUUGGGAAAACACAGCUACAAUGAAUGAAGAGAUGCUUUACCUGCUUUAAAUAGCAAACACAAAACCAGUGUCCAUGAAGAGUUAAAGUGGUCGUUCAGCUCUCUGUCAGUUCUGACAGUUCAGAAAACUUUUGUUUCUUCUCUAGUAUGUAAAUUGACCGUCGGUUUCAGCGAGCCUAUUGGCUACGAGUCCGAGUCAAUUUCGUAUUUCAAACCUGACGUCAGGGCGGCUAUAAAACUCAGCAUUGCUUUUAUACUCCUAUGCUCGGUGAUCCUUUAAAAACUCUGGAACAAGCCCGGAGUACUUUUUUUUUUUCCAGCCAAGCAUCCAAUUGCCAAUCACAUACAUGUUACGGUCCUCAUUUCUGCGAAACUAUUGAAAAAAAGGGCGCCACGCAGCUAUGCAGUGUUAAAUGUUUGCGGCUCAAACGCGUCGACACUCGCGCACAAAGAGAGAGGAACUAGAGACGCGCGCGCUCCUGCGUCUGUUGCGCGAGAGGCGAAAAGGCGUCAAUUCUUAAAAAAAAAUAAAUCGGCGCCGGCGAUCCCCUUUCUCCGCUUUUGAAGAAUUAAAUAAAGAAAUCAAACUGGCUCACGCUGUCUCGAACCCGACCACUUUGACAGCUGCUCUUCACCCCCUUUGGAGGACUGUCAACAGCAAAAGGAUGGCAUCAGAACUGGCAAUGAGCAGCUCCGACCUGCCCACCGGUCCCCUGGCCAUGGAAUAUGUUAAUGACUUCGAUCUGAUGAAGUUUGAAGUGAAAAAGGAGCCGGUGGAGCCCGAUCGCAGCAUCAGCCAGUGCAACCGCCUGAUCGCCGGGGGAUCCCUGUCUUCCACCCCGAUGAGCACGCCUUGCAGCUCGGUUCCCCCUUCCCCAAGCUUCUCGGCGCCCAGUCCGGGCUCCGGGAGCGAGCAGAAGGCGCACCUGGAGGAUUUCUACUGGAUGACCGGCUACCAACAGCAGCUCAACCCAGAGGCUUUGGGCUUCAGCCCCGAGGACGCGGUGGAGGCGCUGAUCAACAGCAGUCACCAGCUCCAGAGCUUCGACGGAUAUGCUAGAGGGCAGCAGUUCAGCAGCGCAGCCGGGGCGGGAGGCGCCAUGGCCGGCGAGGAGAUGGGAUCCGCCGCCGCGGUGGUCUCCGCGGUCAUCGCGGCCGCCGCAGCCCAGAACGGGACACCCCACCACCACCACCAUCACCACCACCACCCGGGCGGCCACCAUCCGACGCCCGGGAUGCAGUCCAACGGCAACCCCGCCAGCCACCAGCACAUGCACCUGGACGACCGCUUCUCGGACGAGCAGCUGGUGACCAUGUCCGUGCGCGAGCUCAACCGGCAGCUGCGGGGGGUCAGCAAAGAGGAGGUGAUCCGGCUCAAACAGAAGAGGAGAACCCUCAAAAACAGAGGCUAUGCCCAGUCGUGUCGCUACAAGCGGGUGCAGCAGAGGCACGUCCUGGAGGGCGAGAAGACCCAGCUGCUGCAGCAGGUGGACCACCUCAAGCAGGAGAUCUCCAGACUGGCGCGCGAGAGGGACGCGUACAAGGAGAAGUACGAGAAGCUCAUCAGCAGCGGCUUCAGAGAAAACGGCUCGAGCAGCGACAACAACCCGUCGUCCCCGGAGUUUUUCAUGACAUCACGAAAGUUUCUACACCUGUGAUAUGACCUCUGACCCCUGCCCUUUGCCCCUGCAGUCUGAGAUUUGUGGGAAACACAGGCAGACGAGGAGGAGGAGGCUGGAGAAUCAAUAUGCAGGAGCGGCCGGCCGGUCAUUUGUAUGCUACAUGUGCGGCAGGGCUACGAGAGCCAGAGCCAGGAGUUAGAAAAGCAAAGACAGUGUAACACUGGAAUGCUUCUGGCUUAGGGUGACCCACGGCUCCAAGACUGCCACAAAGCACAACCUCUCCAAAAUCCACCCCUGAUGAAGACAAUGAGGAGGAGGAGGAAGAUGAUGGAAGAUUGAGAGAAAUCAGAAACCCUUUAUCAACCUGAGUGCCAUUCCUCAGCCUUACCCACAACCCCCUUCUACUGACUUUACCUUGAUUUUACAGUCAGGUGUCUCGCCAACAAUGAAAAACUAAUUAGGAGAGCUUUGAAACAUCCCUGCAUGCUUGAUGAUGCAGUCCAGACAAUAGAAGGAAUUCAAAACGGAACUUCCACCAGAUAUUUCCAGACCAGGUGGACUCCGCUGACGGCCCUCCGGUUCUCAUACCAGAUGCUGUUUUAUUGUACUUCACAUUAACCCAGCAUUUUAUAAAAGGUGGUUGGGAGGCUCUAGCCAGAUGGAAUAAAGCAAGCAAACAGCAUUCAAAUUAUUUCCGAACAGCAUCUUGUGUAUAUUGUGUACAGGAUAAGAGUACAGGCUUAUUCUUAGCAAUGUGAAGACACCAUAUGUGUAAAUAGUUCACAAAUUGUACAUUUCCUGCAUUAUGUCUUUGUAGGUUACACCGUUCCAACAGUUAUUCAACAUUUUUAUCUGUACAGACGGAAAGGUUGACAUUGAUCUCGAGUAUUUGUUUUCUGUAAGCGCCCAUUUAAAUCAUAUAGGCCCCCUCUAAAGACAACUCAAAUGUUAUUGCUUGUUAAGGAGACAUUUACAGAGUGAUCUAGACCUAGUUAAACCCUAAUGCUGGAUUGAGUGUCUACGCCUUUGAGAAUGAGAGAAACACAAUUGAAUUGCAUCUCUCGCUGUCUCUCUGCAUCUCUUUAUCUGCUGUAGAAGUCCCAGCCCGUGUGGUUCUAGUUCCCGAUGCCCAGAUAGCUUCUAAGCUUGAUUGCCAACGUCCUUGUACAGUUUAGAAUUGCAUCUUCUCAUCUUUUUUGCCCCUUCAAACGAUGAUUAUCUUAUGCCUGAAUCCUCUACGUAGCCGUGACGGUCAUGUAGG